AGCUGCCCUAGCGGCCAGUGCUCGGUUUGUAGGCAGUGUAGUUAGCUGAUUGGACCAUCCCGCCCGCAAUCACUAACUCCACUGCCAUCAAAACAAGGCACCACCUCAUCUCCCGCGUC
rnacentral:pre_miRNA from 13 species